GACGAACGCUGGCAGCGUGCUUAACACAUGCAAGUCGAACGGAAAGGCCCUGCUUUUGUGGGGUGCUCGAGUGGCGAACGGGUGAGUAACACGUGAGUAACCUGCCCUUGACUUUGGGAUAACUUCAGGAAACUGGGGCUAAUACCGGAUAGGAGCUCCUGCUGCAUGGUGGGGGUUGGAAAGUUUCGGCGGUUGGGGAUGGACUCGCGGCUUAUCAGCUUGUUGGUGGGGUAGUGGCUUACCAAGGCUUUGACGGGUAGCCGGCCUGAGAGGGUGACCGGCCACAUUGGGACUGAGGUACGGCCCAGACUCCUACGGGAGGCAGCAGUGGGGAGUAUUGCGCAAUGGGCGGAAGCCUGAUGCAGGAACGCCGCGUGCGGGAUGACGGCCUUCGGGUUGUAAACCGCUUUCGCCUGUGACGAAGCGUGAGUGACGGUAAUGGGUAAAGAAGCACCGGCUAACUACGUG
rnacentral:rRNA from 1 species